rnacentral:lncRNA from 1 species
ACAGAUUGCUAGUGCUUUUAUGUGCUGAGCCUUUCCCUUCAACCUGGACUGAAAGAGGAUGGCAAUCUCGCUGAAGCUGUUUCUUUUUCUUCACAACAUAUAGGAAAGUGUUGCCCCUUUUUGGAGGUAAGCCCUUUUGUUCUUAAAAAUUCUAUAAGAAAGAAUGAGGGGAAAAGGAAAAGAAGUUAUUAAACCAAAUUGAGGAAGAGAUAUGUAUCUCUCUCCAUGCUUGAAAAUUAAAAGGAAAUAUUAGAAAAUUUGCUAGACAGUUAAUGAUUUGGACCAUCUGUAGUGGCCUCCGUAACAUAUAAAAGAAUAGAAUCUCCUUUUAAUUAAUUUUCAGUUGUAAAUCAUGCUGCAAAAUAGCAACCAUCCUUAGAGACUAAAUCUUAUGAGUCAUGGCUUCAUAAUAAUGUGACCCAGAUUUCACAGACAUACAACACUGAAAUAUUAUAUUUUUUCCAAUACUUUGAAAUAAUCUGUUUAAAUUUGUAGUGAGGGAAUAUUUUGAUAUACUAACUACUAGGGAUUUAUUUCCCUGUCAACUACUACCACUUAUUUUACAUUGCUAUUCACAUUAAAAUAGAUCAGAGUGAUAAAUCAUAUGCACAGAACAGAAGUAAAAAUAAAAACAAACUUCUUUAACUUUUUGGAGAGAAUUUAAGCUUGAAAGCAUAAGGUUUUGGCUUGUACAAGCUUGUUAACUCAGAAUUUAAAUGGCUAAGCCCCAAAAGGAGAAGCUUAUAUUAGAAAGAAUACAUUUGAAAGAAAAUAAAAACAGAUAAAUCUGACUCCGCUAUUAUAGACUAGAAACAGGUCCCAAAAGAUUAGAAAGUUUUGUGAGACCCUGGGGA